AAAGUCGUAACAAGGUUUCCGUAGGUGAACCUGCGGAAGGAUCAUUACCAUAAUAAAAUUUCCAAACCCAUGUGCACGAUGAAUAAAAUGUCUUGGUUUUUGGGGUAGGCUUCACAGUUUACCCCGACCAAUUUCUUUGUAAACUACUUUAUAUUAGCUUGGCAUUGUAAUACAAAUGUGUAAUAAUUAUAUGACAACUUUUAACGGUGGAUCUCUUGGCUCGU
rnacentral:misc_RNA from 1 species